AAAAAAAAAAAAAAAAAAGAAACACCCUAAAAUUUCACACUUUGACUCUUAGGGUUCAAUUUUUGAUAGAAUGGUAGAGCUUUAAUCCAUUAGCAUUUUAAGGAUGGAUGCUCUAACCCCGUUGAUCAUGCUGAUAUGGCAAUGUGCAAUCAAUAUAAUAAAAUUAUUUUUUAUUCAUUAAAAAAUGUGAAUUUAAUUGGUUUGUAUUUUGUUAAUUUUCAUAUUAUUUGUGGGACACAAAACAAUUUUUUUUUAAAUAUUAUUGUUUAGAAUUGCACUUCCACGUUAACAUAACUAACGGCAUUAUGGUAUUUGUGCUUAAAGUGCCAACAGAAUAAAAAGCUAAGGGUAUCAUUUUGUCAAAAAUUAAACUAUGGGUCUAAAGUGUCAAAGUGUGAAAUCUUAAGGUACCUUUUCAUACUUUUAGAUUAUACUAAACUGCCUGCUUUCAGAUUUAGUAUUUCUCUUGUAUCCUUUGUUUUAUAUUAAACUGCCUAUUACAUUUUUCAUGUUUAUGGAGUACUUCACAACUACAGAUUUUUCUUAAACAAUGUUAGACCUUAAGCCCUAAAUGCAUGUUGUUGCUGCAAUUUGAAAUUCUCAAUCAUACAUAAAAUAAGAUAUUUGAACUUAUCAAGAGUCAAGACUAACUAGUAACUACAAGCAUUUACCUAUUUAAUGACCAUCUUAUAUGCAUGACAUUGCCAUACAGUCGAGGAAGAUUCAAUUUAAGAAUUAUGUUGAUUCAAUUUUUCAUUGUAAAAUUAAGAAAUUUAUAUUUCUAAUAUUUAGGAAUAUUUAAAGAGUUCUGUUCGGUUUAGUAUUUUCCUAGUUAGUGUUGGUUUUAUAUUCCUAGUUAACAUUGGUUUAGUAUUUUCUUAUUUUGGGACUCCUAAUCUUUGUACUAGUAGGACUAGUUGUUAGACUAUAAAUACCAAUGUAAUCUAGGUAUUUUGAUAGAGAGUUCAUUAUUAUUAAUAUUGACAAUUGAAUUGAUAAUUAAUAAGAAUUUGAGAAUUUUGUUCCUUUCCCCUUUGUACCAUUGGUUCUACAUCACAUUUUCUAUGCAUUUUGACCAAGUGCAGACCAUCAAAAGAGUUGUGUAGGGUAAUUAUGAUUUUUUUUUUUUUUUUUGAGCAGGUGUAGGAUAAUUAUGAUUGUUUAUGAGAAUUAUGUCUGCUUCACUUAAAAGACAUUUUAUUUGCUGCAGCUCCUGAGGAAGAGUGGAACAAGCUUUUAAUUAAUGGCAUGACAAUUGGCAAGGGAGAAAUUUCUCCUGAUGAAUUAUAUGCUGUCGUUAAGAAAAGAAUUGAGCGGAUGUUGAUCAGAACAGAGGGAGGUUCUUACCAGCAGCGUGUUCUUAAUGAAUAUCUCAAGGGCAUUGAAUCAAGAGCAGAGGAGAUUGUCCAAAUGCUUCAGGGCAAGCCAUAAGAUUAAUAGAAUCAAAAACAGAUUCCAUUAAUGCUGUAGAAAAUCUGCAAAGAAGUUUCUCAUUGGAAUCAGAGAAGAAAGAAAAGAAGAGCAUUUGAGAGGAAAGAAGCUAUAGAUUAUGUGCAGCAUGCUUAUUGUAUUUCAAAAUGUCAGGUAAUUAUCUUCCAUAGCCCCAAGAUAUCUUCUUUUUUUUUCCCCUUUUCUUUUCAAUUUAUUUGUUCGACGGAAAACCCAAAUGAAAACAAAAGCAAAUUCAUAGAGAUCUAUGUAUAUACCUUCUUGUCAAUAAAAUCAGCCCA
rnacentral:misc_RNA from 1 species